AAGUGCGCGGUACCGGCUUUUAACUCCCUGAAGUAGUCUGCGAUCGGGUAUAAAAUAGUCUCGCUCCUUGAAUAAAUAAAAUGGCCAGCAGGCAGGAAAUUUGAAAACAAACAAGAGACCACAAGCAUGGAGUACGCCCCAAGUUUGAUUACACAUCGACCCCUGGAGCGAGGACUUAACCCGACGGCAGCUGCAUCAGUUUCAGGUAAUUGUCACCAAGCCGAUUUAACCCGUUUAAGCUGCUCUAAGCAUAUUCAAUAUUUUGGUUAUUUAACACGAAGGGAAUGGGAGAAUAAGUUCUCCGAGGGACAUGUAGAUGGAUACUCUGGGCCCUCAUCUGCGUCUUCGCGUGUGUUUGUGUGUUUUUAUAACAUUUGUGGAUUACGCCUAUAAAAACUACACUUCACCGCGAAGCCAGCGAAGUGGGCACCAGCUACAACAAAGGACAACAAUUAUUCUGCAAAAAUGAUACAACCUGUCGCUCGAGAGAUUACAAACGGAGCUGCUUUUAUGGUUUGUUCCGCUUUUGUUUAACGAUUCCGAGGAUCACACGUAAUAACCCACGCAAUCCACCACCGAAGUCGGAAAACCGACUCAACGGAACGCAGCGCAACUUGACUCAACCGAAACUCGACACUUAUCCCUGGGAACUCAAAAUAGUGUUUUAUUGUUGGAAAUUACGAUUCUUUUAUUUAUUUACUUUUUCUGCAUUUCUUUGCCGCCCCACACACACCCACCGUUUCAAUUUUUAUAUGUUUAUUACGGUUAUUAUCGCUUAAUGGGGCUCGCUCGCUGGUUAUUGCUGUUGUUGUGUUGCUUGCACCAGUAGUUGUGUCAGACUAACGUGUGAAGUUGUUUUAUUAUUUGUUUUGAUUAUCAAAAUGGGCGUUUUACAUUUUUCCGGUCGUUGGGCGGCCCACCUGCCACGGGCCCACCGCUUAUAGUCCACAUCCCAUAACCCCGGGGCAAGGGCAGUAAAUCACGGCCCGCUGUGAGUGGCUGAGUACCUGGGCAGCAGUACACUUGAAAAAUAAUAACCCUUCUCUUUUAAAAUAUUGGACGGCUAGACAUAAUAUUCAAUUACAAAUACAUCACAGCAAUAAACCAUUUUUCGGGCUUCUAUAACAAGUUGAAUUAACCUAAAGAACUUUUUAAUUUAUUUAAAAACCAUUUUGAAUUUAUUUAGUUAAAUUUAGUUACUUAAAAUGUUCCAUCAUGUAUAAAUUAGUAAUAUGUCAUAAAAAUAGUUUAAUUCAAUACUAUUUCGUUACAAUAAUACGAAUUUUGCAUCAUCAAAGGUUAUACAAAAUAAAAUUACCAGUUAUAUUUUCAGUGCAUGAGUAAAUCCACUCAUUCGCACUCGCUGUAUGACCCAUAAGCAGAAACCAAAGUGUGGCAAAAUGCUUAAUUUAGAAUUUAUGAGCAAUUAAUUUUAAAGCGCUCUCUGGCCAUUAACGCCGUUACUGCUUCUCCCCCUUGACCGUAAUACACCUUUGGUCAUUAAAGAAUUAAGAAGCCAGUGUGCCAAAAAUUGAUUGUUUAGCCAAUCCGCUGAUGGAUCAAUUAUUCAAUUGUUAUAGCCAAAGAGUUGGCAAUCCAAUUUGAGCACGAGUCGUAUUCCAACAAAUAGACAGGUAGGAAGCACAUUAACUGGUAGAUUUAUGAAUAAGAAAUAAUUUAAAUAAAUUUGUUAUGCUUUAGAAAUUGUUUAUUAAGGUUAAUUUAUGAGUGUUAAAUGGCUAAAAAUUAUUUAAUUGAAGGAUAAGAAAAUGUUGUGAUGUGGUAUGAUUUAAAUAAAAAAUACAAAAAUAAAUAUAGAAAAACU
rnacentral:lncRNA from 1 species